UUACGGCCACAUCAUGUUGAAACACUAGUUCCCAUAUGAUCACCAAAGUUAAGCAAAGUCAAGCCUGGUCAGUAACUAGAUGGGUGACUGCUUGGGAAUAGUAGA